UUUAAUUGGAGAGUUUGAUCCUGGCUCAGAAUGAACGCUGGCGGCGUGCUUAACACAUGCAAGUCGUACGAGAACUCUUUAGCUUGCUAAAGAUAGUAAAGUGGCGCACGGGUGAGUAACGCGUGGGUAAUCUACCUCUGAAUCGGGGAUAACUCGCCGAAAGGCGAGCUAAUACCGGAUAAUAUCUAUUAAACUUAGGUUUUAAAGAUCAAAGGUGGUUUCUACAUGUAAGCUACUGUUUGGAGAUGAGCCCGCGUACCAUUAGCUUGUUGGUAAGGUAAUGGCUUACCAAGGCUUCGAUGGUUAGCUGGUCUGAGAGGAUGAUCAGCCACACUGGAACUGACACACGGUCCAGACUCCUACGGGAGGCAGCAGUGAGGAAUUUUGCGCAAUGGGGGCAACCCUGACGCAGCAACGCCGC
rnacentral:rRNA from 1 species